GAGCUGCGGGGGCUGCCGCGGAGGCCGCCCUAGGAGGGAGGGGGCGGACCGGGGUGUGAGGUGAGCGGCCGUAAUGAGCACUCGCAGGAGCAAGGGGCCCGGCGCGGGCCUCCAGGGCGGGAGGCCCUGACGCGGGGAGGAGGCGGCCGGGCGGCCAAGGGCCUCCCUGGGGAGUGUGCGGAGGCCGGGACGGAGCAGCGCGUAACUAGGGAGAGGAUAGGCCGGGCUGGUGGAGAUGCGGGGAGAGACCAGCCAAAGCUAAAGAGCCAAAGCAAAGGCAACUACAUUGUCGGCACUGCCCUAGGCUCCAGGGCCACAGAGACAACCAUAGCUUCAGCCUCCUGCUGCGAAUGACAUCUCUCAGAAAUCUUCCCUGACUGUCCAGGCGGAAUUAAUGGUUCACUUCCCUGUUCCUCUAUACCUUGAGCAUCCCUCUACAAUUGAAUGCUCCUUCAUUCCAUUUCAUUGCACCAGCAUGUAUCGAGGGUCUACUGUUAUCUAUCGCUGAAGAGAAUGAUUGCAAAAAACUUGAAUGAACAUGGAAAAUGCUGAUGAUCAGAUUUCCAUUGAAAAGAAAGGUGUGCUCCUUGGGGUGGGGGUGUUGUUGUAAU
rnacentral:lncRNA from 10 species